rnacentral:snRNA from 1 species
AUCGCUUCUCAGCCUUUUGGCUAAGAUCAAGUGUAGUAUCUGUUCUAUCAGUUUAUUCUUUUUCAUGCACCUGUA